rnacentral:rRNA from 1 species
CCUACGGGAGGCAGCAGUGAGGAAUAUUGGUCAAUGGGCGUAAGCCUGAACCAGCCAAGUAGCGUGAGGGAUGAAGGUUCUAUGGAUCGUAAACCUCUUUUAUAAGGGAAUAAAGUGUGGGACGUGUCCUAUUUUGUAUGUACCUUAUGAAUAAGGAUCGGCUAACUCCGUGCCAGCAGCCGCGGUAAUACGGAGGAUCCGAGCGUUAUCCGGAUUUAUUGGGUUUAAAGGGUGCGUAGGCGGCCUUUUAAGUCAGCGGUGAAAGUCUGUGGCUCAACCAUAGAAUUGCCGUUGAAACUGGGAGGCUUGAGUAUGGUUGAGGCAGGCGGAAUGCGGGGUGUAGCGGUGAAAUGCUUAGAUAUCACGAAGAACCCCGAUUGCGAAGGCAGCCUGCCAAGCCAUGACUGACGCUGAUGCACGAAAGCGUGGGGAUCAAACAGGAUUAGAUACCCCUGUAGUC